AUGGCUAAACCGGCGCGAUCGCCGACGGCGGAGGCCCUGCCGGCCGCGGAGAAGUCCCGCUCCGCGGUCGGGUCGGGGCUCCGGUCCCUCGCCAGCGCCGCCUCUGGAUUUCUGGAUCGGUGGUCGGUCGUCGGGACGGGCGUCUCCAGGCUCGAGAAAACUCUCGGCGACCAGUUCCCCGAGGGUGAGCACUACUUCGGCCUGGAGAAUUUUGGCAAUACCUGCUACUGCAACAGCGUGCUGCAGGCACUUUAUUAUUGUAUUCCGUUUCGGGAGCAGUUGCUGGAAUAUUAUGCAAAUUACAGGAAUCCAGGAGAUGCUGAGGAAAAUUUGUUGACCUGCUUGGCAGAUCUUUUUGCGCAGAUAAGCCUAUCGAAGAAAAAGACUGGUGUUAUUUCUCCAAAACGUUUUGUCCAUAGAGUGAGGAAACAGAAUGAAUUGUUUCGUAGUAAUAUGCACCAGGAUGCCCAUGAAUUUUUGAAUUUUUUGUUGAAUGAGAUUGUCGAUAUUCUGGAAAAAGAGUUUAGUACUGUGAAGGAUUCUCCUGAAAGCACAUCCCCUGGAGGGGUGGCAAAUGGCGAAGUUUAUCAUUUAGCCAAUGAAGUUCGAAGGGAGCCGCUGGUUACAUGGGUCCACAAGAAUUUUCAGGGUAUUUUGACCAAUGAAACAAAGUGCCUGAUGUGUGAGACUGUCACCGCAAAGGAUGAGACAUUUUUAGAUUUGAGCAUCGACAUUGAACAGAAUAGUUCACUAACAAGCUGCCUGAAGAGUUUCUUUUCCACCGAGAUUUUAAAUGCCGAGGACAAGUUUUUCUGUGACAACUGCUGCAGUUUGCAAGAAGCACAGAAGAGAAUGAAGAUAAAAAAGGCGCCACAAAUAUUGGUGAUCCACUUAAAGCGCUUCAAGUUCAUUGAACAGCUGAGUCAGCACAAGAAACUGUCAUACCGAGUGGUAUACCCCAUGGAGCUGAAGCUGAGCAGUGCCUCUGAUGAUGUGGAUUGCGAAUACUCACUCUUUGCUGUGGUAGUCCACGUUGGGAACGCUGCCAACCACGGACAUUAUGUAAGCCAGAUUAAAAGCGGCGACCACUGGCUGUCAUUUGACGAUGACAGUGUUGACAAAAUUCAGGAGUCAACCCUGCAAACGUUCUAUGGUUCUUCUCGCGAAUAUUCUGGCAACAGCGAUCAUGGCUACAUCUUGUUCUAUGAGAGCGUUGCAAAGAGCUAG
rnacentral:rRNA from 1 species